UACGUAGGCAGCGAGCGUUGUUCGGAGUUACUGGGCGUAAAGGGUGUGUAGGCGGUUUUCUAAGUUUGGUGUGAAAUCUCCCGGCUUAACCGGGAGGGUGCGCCGAAAACUGGGAGACUAGAGUGCGGGAUGGGAGAGUAGAAUUCCUGGUGUAGCGGUGAAAUGCGUAGAUAUCUGGAGGAAUACCGGUGGCGAAGGCGGCAUCCUGGACCGACAUUGACGCUGAUGAGCGAAAGCUAGGGGAGCAAACGGG
rnacentral:rRNA from 1 species